rnacentral:rRNA from 1 species
AACGCGAAGAACCUUACCCAGACUUGACAUCCCUGGCAAAGCUAUAGAAAUAUAGUGGAGGUUAUCCAGGUGACAGGUGGUGCAUGGUUGUCGUCAGCUCGUGUCGUGAGAUGUUUGGUUAAGUCCAACAACGAGCGCAACCCCUAUUGUCAGUUGCCAUCAUUAAGUUGGGCACUCUGGCGAGACUGCCGGUGACAAAUCGGAGGAAGGUGGGGACGACGUCAAAUCAUCAUGCCCCUUAUGCCCAGGGCUACACACGUACUACAAUGGCCGAUAACAAAGUGCAGCGAAACCGUGAGGUGGAGCGAAUCACAAAACUCGGUCUCAGUUCAGAUUGCAGGCUGCAACUCGCCUGCAUGAAGUUGGAAUUGCUAGUAAUCGCGAAUCAGAAUGUCGCGGUGAAUACGUUCCCGGGUCUUGUACACACCG